AAUGAACGUUGGCGGCAUGGAUUAGGCAUGCAAGUCGAGCGAGAAGGGUUUUGAAGCUUGCUUUAGAACCCGGACAGCGGCGAAAGGGAGAGUAACGCGUAGUUAUGUGCCCUAGGGUCCGGAAUAGCCACGGGAAACUGUGGGUAAUGCCGGAUAAUAUCCCCGGAUCAAAGGUGUGAUUCCGCCCUAGGAGCAGACUGCGUCCUACUAGCUAGUUGGUGGGGUAAUGGCCCACCAAGGCAACGAUGGGUAGCGGGUGUGAGAGCAUGACCCGUCUCACUGGGACUGAGACACUGCCCAGACACCUACGGGUGGCUGCAGUCGAGAAUCUUCGGCAAUGGGCGAAAGCCUGACCGAGCGAUGCCGCGUGCGGGAUGAAGGCCCUCGGGUUGUAAACCGCUGUCGUAGGGGAGGAAGAUUUCGUGAAGAGCGAAAUUUGACCUAUCCUAGGAGGAAGUACGGGCUAAGUUCGUGCCAGCCGCCGCCGUAA
rnacentral:rRNA from 1 species